rnacentral:rRNA from 1 species
UACGUAGGGGGCAAGCGUUGUCCGGAUUUAUUGGGCGUAAAGAGCGUGUAGGCGGCCAGACAGGUCCGUUGUGAAAACUCGAGGCUCAACCUCGAGACGGCGAUGGAAACCGUCUGGCUAGAGUCCGGAAGAGGAGAGUGGAAUUCCUGGUGUAGCGGUGAAAUGCGCAGAUAUCAGGAAGAACACCCGUGGCGAAGGCGGCUCUCUGGGACGGUACUGACGCUGAGACGCGAAAGCGUGGGGAGCGAACAGG